ACGCGAGCUGGGUUUAGAACGUCGUGAGACAGUUCGGUCCCUAUCCGCUGCGCGCGUAGGAAAUUUGAGAAGGGCUGUCCUUAGUACGAGAGGACCGGGACGGACGAACCUCUGGUGUGUCAGUUGUACUGCCAAGUGCACCGCUGAUUAGCUACGUUCGGAUGGGAUAACCGCUGAAAGCAUCUAAGCGGGAAGCCUGCUUCAAGAUGAGAUUUCCAUACACCAUUUGGUGUGAGAGGCCCCCAGCCAGACCACUGGGUUGAUAGGCCGGAUGUGGAAGCGAGGACUAACGACUCGUGAAGCUGACCGGUACUAAUACGCCGAUAACUUGACACA
rnacentral:rRNA from 1 species